CGGUUAACUGUGAGGAUAGGCCAUGAGGAUGCUGUACUUCCACCCCUCUCCCCCGCCCAAGCCCAGAAAGCCCCAAGUCACUCACAGCCCACGUAGUGUACAUAGAAUUCCUCUCGGCCCUCCUGAUCAUUCACUCGAGACUGAAUCACUUCAGCAGAAUCUGUGAAAGAAAAAGGAUAGGAUCAUCAGAAAGGCAGAAAGGACCAAGAAGAAUCCUUCACACUGAGGAGCAGUUUCCAGAUUCCAGGGACAUACACAAGCUAACAUCACCCGUCUACAUCUGUCAUUCCAUCAAUCGCUGCCUGUGAAGUGGGCCAGGUUGGAGCUGUUACUCUUACUUUACAGAUGAAAAACUGAAGCUUACCCAGGCUCACAUAUUUGAAAAACAAUAAGAAGUUAACAUUUAACUGAGUUUAAGUCUGGCUCCAAAUGCAAUGCUUGUUUUACUAUACUUAGUUGCUCAUUUGUUCAGCAGUCAUGAAGGCUGGCUCUGGGUUUAUAUACAAUUCUAGCUCCUCACUUCCUAUGUUUAAGUGCAAAUUAUUUUGGUUGAGCCUCAGUUUCUUCAUCUACAAAACACAACUAAUAGUGCCCACCUCAGAGGGUGAGCUAAUGCCUCUAAAGCAUGUAGCAUAUAGCGCCUGACAACUAGCCAACCAUUCAACAAAUGAGUAAGGCAACCACUGCGUGUCUGGUCCUACGCUGUGUUAUUGCUGGGUAGAGAGGAUUCACAGCAGUGAAUCACAAGAGGUCCUGCCCUCCAGAAGUUCCCACUUUGAUAUGGGAAGACACAGACGAUGACUACAUAAUGUCACAUAUACUAUGGCUAGCUGAGGUAUGAAGAAAAUGUUGUAGGCACAUUCAUAAGGGAAGGACUCACUUUGCCUGAAGGGAGUCAGUAAUGGCAUCACAAGGGAUAUGGUGUGUUAAAGGAUGAGUAGGAGCUAGCUAGGUGAACAAGAAAGGCAAGGGCAUUCAAGCAUUUGGCACAGGUGGUAAAAGGCAUGUAGUCUUCAGAGUACAGUGUGGUCUAGUCUGGCAAUGGCCUUUGCUAGGGGUGUCUAAAAACCACAGGUCACAAAGAUGUCCCCUCCGCUGGCGGUUGUAGAAGAGGGAUGGAAAAGUAAGUCGCAGAGACCAGAGAGACCAGCAAGGAACGAUGGUUUUGUUUAAAAAGGGAAUGAAGUCUAAGAUUGGAUAAGCAAGUGGAAUGGGAGCUCUACAUACAAUUAAACGGGAGCUGCUUGUGUUCCAGGAGAGCCAGACUGGUGGGGUUUGUAGGCGGUGCCCGGGAGGGGCGGAAACUCCGCGCUUUUCCCUCAAGCCCCGCCCCUACAACGUCAGCCCCUCAGAGAACCCGCCCUCAUGCCCCGCCCCCUGUCCCUGGGCCCCGCCCUCACGCCAGGUGCUAUCCGGUCGUCGGCACAGGUACGUUUCUCCGAUCUCCACGGUGACUUCCGGCUCGCCGCGCGCUGGAGUCGGGGGAGAGACGCGGCCCGGGGACGGGGCGGUCCCCUCGACCGCCGCAUUCUCCCCGGGCCCGGGAUCGCUCUCCCCCGCGACCCCUGAAGUAGCCGCCGCAACCGCAGCAGCUGCUCCCUGUGCCGCCAUCGUCGUAGUGGAAAUGACGCUGGAAUCCAGCGCCGCGCAGCGCUUUUAGUUCCGGGUCAGCGACGCGUGGCGGAGGCAGCUACCGCCCUGAAGGCGGGGCCUGUGGCGUAGCAAGAGCUCACUGGUUAGUGCGGCGUUUUAGCGGUCCCUGACAAGUUUGACCUUUCGUGUGCCAAUCGCGCUGGAAUUUUUUUUUUUCCGUAUAGAAAUAUGGCUGAACCCUGAGUUGAAAGAGGAGACCUUCGUGAUGUGUGAUGACUCAGCCCGAUCUUUUUAAAGGGCCUGGUGCCUGAGGAAGCCAGGAGGUGCCAAUUACCAGAGGCACUGCCCCCACUUUACCCGGUACCGGGACGGAGCCAGAGCUGCCUCCCUGGCUGCAGUAGGGCUUUGAGCUUGGAAUUAACACCCACUUCUGCGUUGCCCACUUCCGCCAACCUAAAGCCCCGUCACCCCUUUUGUAAAGAUUGAAGGAACUGCCGUCCUUGUUCACGGUGAAGGAAACAGGACGGCUGUGUCCAGGGAUAGCUAGUAAAUUGCUCUCAUAGAAUUAAGCCUUUUUAAAGGCUUAAUUUGUCCCCUAGACAAAUUAGACGCAGUGGACAUAUUAGAGAGCGUCUUGGGCUUAGUGAGGAAUCCGGGUUCUGAUCCUACUCUGGGUAAAUUGUACAAAGGUGUCCAUUCUCGAGGGUCGGUAAAGGUUAAACUAUACAUAACUGUAUAACCCAUAUAACUAUAUAAAGGGUAUCCCUUAUGUAUAUAAGUGCAUCGCACAGUACCAAGCAAGGUAGGUGUUCAAUAAAUGUUUUUUUGCCAUUCCCUUAA